AUCGGACAAACCAACGCCACACACGCAUCGGCACCGCCUUCGGGGUGCCGCGGGCCCUUGGGGUACCGCGGUCGAAGCCGGGGAUGCGUGGAGGUCCCAAC
rnacentral:sRNA from 1 species